rnacentral:misc_RNA from 1 species
AAAAAAAAAAAAAACCUGUAAAUCAUAAUUCGUAUUCUUAUUCUGUCACCAAAAUCGGCUUAGAUGUAUUCCUGGAGCAGUGUUUUUAAUUUUGUUAUCUACCAAUUUAUUUGUUUCUUGUUUUUGGUGCUUCAUUAAGAGAAGUAUAUUUCUUAUCAUGUUUCCUUUUAUUUGACAUGUUAGUCACUUGGUCUGUUCUUUUAUUAAUAGAAUUCGGUGACAUUAAAAUACCUUCGACCUUCUAUGCCUUUCUUUCUGGGGUAGGACUGGGAUUUUUAUGUUGUGCUCUCUGUGAGCAAAAGAAUCACCAUAAACUUUCUGCUCCAUUUCAGCUGUGACUGAUGUUGAUUAAUCUAAUAAUCUAGUGCAAGUUAAAUGGGACUUUUCCUUUUAUCAAUUUCUUUAGGGGCCAAUCAAAUCCUGUGGAUGGCAACAUUAUGGGGAUUUCAGUACUAGAGUUCCCAAAGACCAUGAGUAAGGGAAGCUUUAAACUUAAAAAUGAUAUCAGGAUUUUUAUGUUUGCAAUCAUUGCUUCUUCUGUAUGCAAAAGUUAAAUGUGCCUCUAAUCAUGCAUGAACUUUCUGAAACGAUGAAUGGCUCAUAAAGAAUGGUCUUCACUCAUCAAAUCAUGUUAUGCUAGUUGUACUUAAGCAAUCUGUCAUGUGAUAUUCAUACCAAAGAAAGGAGAGCAAGUGGACCAAAAGCACAAUCUACUGAAUCUUCUCACAAAAUUGCUCUAAGUUUCAGAAGCACUGAAGCAGCAUAAAUAUGUCUGGAUAUUGUACUGCGUUUUUUACCAUGUAUACUCCAUCCUGCUAAGAAUGCUCCACACAAUACUGCUACUAGUCAUCCCUCUAUUUAUUUGGAAGAAAAAGAAAUUAACUUGCUGAAACUGAAUCGUGGUUGGAUUCUCUUUAACGUGAGUACAAAAAAAGAAAGACUGCUGAACUCUGAAUCCUGUUUGCUUACAAUACUUGGCUCUGAAUUUAUUCAUCCAUCUCAAUUAGGCACUUCUUUCAUUUCACAAUAAUAGAUCCUCUUGUUGUCUUUGAUAGUUGGAGUCUUUAGUUAAUGCUUCGAUGAACUAAUAAUGUAUUUGACAAAUGCGUGCGUUUCUUAAAAUAUGUUUGCAGGUUCACUGGGUCAUCCUGGGCUG